rnacentral:rRNA from 1 species
AGAGUUUGAUCCUGGCUCAGAUUGAACGCUGGCGGCAUGCCUUACACAUGCAAGUCGAACGGCAGCGCGGGGGGUAACUCCUGGCGGCGAGUGGCGAACGGGUGAGUAAUAUAUCGGAACGUGCCCUGGAGUGGGGGAUAACUAGUCGAAAGAUUAGCUAAUACCGCAUACGAUCUACGGAUGAAAGUGGGGGAUUCGCAAGAACCUCAUGCUCGUGGAGCGGCCGAUAUCUGAUUAGCUAGUUGGUAGGGUAAAAGCCUACCAAGGCGACGAUCAGUAGCUGGUUUGAGAGAACGACCAGCCACACUGGGACUGAGACACGGCCCAGACUCCUACGGGAGGCAGCAGUGGGGAAUUUUGGACAAUGGGGGCAACCCUGAUCCAGCAAUGCCGCGUGUGUGAAGAAGGCC